CACGCCUGGAAAGUGUG
rnacentral:misc_RNA from 1 species